CCAAUAGCGUAUAUUAAAGUUGUUGCAGUUAAAAAGCUCGUAGUUGAAUUUCGGGGUUAGUAGGUUGGUCAUGCCUCUGGUAUGUACUGGUCUCACUGAUUCCUCCUUCCUGAUGAACCGUAAUGCCAUUAAUUUGGUGUUGCGGGAAAUUUGGACUGUUACUUUGAAAAAAUUAGAGUGUUUAAAGCAAGCUAACGCUUGAAUACAUUAGCAUGGAAUAAUGAAAUAGGACGUUCGAUCCUAUUUUGUUGGUUUCUAGGAUUGACGUAAUGAUUAAUAGGGAUAGUUGGGGGCAUUAGUAUUCAAUUGUCAGAGGUGAAGUUCUUGGAUUUAUUGAAGACUAACUACUGCGAAAGCAUUUGCCAAGGAUGUUUUCAUUAAUCAAGAACGAAAGUUAGGGGAUCGAAGACGAUCAGAUACCGUCGUAGUCUUAACCAUAAACUAUGCCGACUAGGGAUCGGAUGAUGUUAAUUUUUUAAUGACUCAUUCGGCACCUUACG
rnacentral:rRNA from 1 species